AGAACGAACGCUGGCGGCAGGCCUCAAACAUGCAAGUCUAGGGGGUGUAGCAAUACAUCACCGGCGGACGGGUGCGUAACGCGUGGGAAUGUACCUAUUGGUUCGGAACAACUGAGGGAAACUUCAGCUAAUACCGGAUGAGCCCGAAAGGGGAAAGAUUUCUCGCCAAUAGAUCAGCCCGCGUCCGAUUAGCUAGUUGGUGGGGUUAAAGCCUACCAAGGCGACGAUCGGUAGCUGUUCUGAGAGGAAGAUCAGCCACACUGGGACUGAGACACGGCCCAGACUCCUACGGGAGGCAGCAGUUGGGAAUCUUGGACAAUGGGCGCAAGCCUGAUCCAGCCAUGCCGCGUGGAUGAUGGAGGCCUUAGGGUUGUAAAGUCCUUUUAACGGGGAAGAUAAUGACGGUACCCGUAGAAUAAGCCCGGCUAACUUCGUGCCAGCAGCCGC
rnacentral:rRNA from 1 species